UGUGUUUGUUUUUGUCUCAUCUAUAUUUUGCAAGGUAUUACAGUUGAGCAGAGCCUGAUUUUGUUUCUAAAACGAUUCAUCUUACUGUUAUGAACGAUAGAGAGUUGAGACGCCAAUUGUUUGGGAGGUAUCGCUCAAGGCAUAGCCGCAGUCGGAGCAGAAGUUGAAGUCCUUAUAGGCAUCGCAGCUAUGAUGAGUGCCCUGAUGGAGGUUGUGGGCACAGUAGAAGGUAUGAUGACGAGGAUUACUACCAUGAGAGUCGUAGCAAGAGGAACAGGACUACAAGCCCUGGCCACAGAAGAGGACGAAGCAGGAGCCCGAGGGGAAGAAGGAACCAGAGUCCAGUAAGAGAAGGAAGUGAAGAGAGACAUGCCAAAAUCGGGCAGUGGAACAGGGAAAAGGAACAGUCAGAAAAAGCUAAUAAGGAUAAUACUUAUGGUUCCAACAAUAACAACGAAAGCAAUGAAGAUCAGUACUAUGGAAACCAGCAGCGGCGAGGAUAUGGAUAUUGAUCCAACUAAUAUUUUCUGGUAUGUAUUCUUGUUUUCUUAAAAUUUUGAUGUUUUGGGUUGCUCUUUCAAUAAAAAGUUCCAUUUAAAAAAAGACCCACACAUCCAACAAAGUAGCUUACACCAUUUUCCACUGUGCAGGUGAUGUGCAGGUUCACUGUUCUAUGAUUGGAUAAUUUUUCCCCACCUUUUUUUAUUGGUUUCAUAAUUGCUUUUGAUGUGCUUGAUUUGUGUGCCUUGCAUGCAUGGUGAUAUAAAACCUCCUAGAUCGUUUCCCUUUCACAUUCAUCUGAUCUCUUACUUUUUCCAAUGUUUCUCAUCAUCACUGCUGGUCAUCAACUUUUCAAAUUUCUUUGUUUUAAAAGAGUCCUCCCCCUCCCAUUUCCAAUAAACACUUACUGGCUGUUUUAUAUCUGUUAAUUAUUUUGUAAGUAAGCUGUCUGUCUAUUCUGUUUCAAUUUGUUAACAUAUCCUUUUGGGGCUGUGUUUGAAUCUUAGAUUUGUAGAAAAUUAUUAAAACAAUUAUAUAUUAUGAUUGGAAAUAAGAAUUUUUCAAGAGUUUCUGGUGAGUUAACAAUAAAUUUUUCAAGAGUUUCUGAGAAUUUUCUUCAUGUUGUGUUAGAGAUCUUAGAAAUGUCUCAAAUCUUUCUGAAGAGUUUCCUUUAAAAUUCCUGAGUUUCAUUUUAAUUUCAUGCUAUUUCCUUAUAUUCUUAUUUCUGAUGGAGAUUUUUGUGAAUGAUUGAAAUGUGGUAUGAGGUGUAGUCUUUUGAUGUUUUUGUAUUGAUUGUGAUACUGUUUUCAUUCCACAUAGUAUCAUUUCUGUGUUGUCCCUUUGAACUUAUAAGUAGCGGUGAGCUUCUACUAUUUUAUGUCUUGUUUUAAUAACAGUAAGGGAGUUGAAGCAGCAGUCCUGUAUAGUUGUAAGUCACCAAACAUAUUUACAAUGGCUUUCUGGUCUCCGUCAAGGAAUGGUCAAUUCCUGACUUGUGUGUAGUAGUUAAAGGUUGGGUGUGUGUGAGAGAGAAAUGGGUCUAGUUCAUAUAUUUUGAAACGGAAUCUGCUUGACUUGUAAAACCUAUUAUGUUAUCCACCGAUUGAAAAUUCUUGUUUCCUGGCUUUCCUUUUGGUUUCCCGUCCAAAUUGGAUAGAUUAGAAUUGUAGGACAAAUAACUUGAAGAAGUUCUACUUUGAUACUAUACAUUCUUUAAGUUACAUGGGUUUCCAAAUGUCUUACUACAAGUGAUGCUGUGUAAAAUCGUUAAUUACAUGGGUUUGGUAUUUAGAUGCAUUCCUAUUUUUUGCUUUUAUUGCAUGUGUUGGUAUUUGUUUGCAGUCAGGCACUCUCUGACCACAGCACAUUCCAGGCUAGUUAACAUGCAAUUUUUCAUGUGGUUUCGUAACGGGUUUUGUCUUCUGUCAACUUCCUCUUUUUACGUUAACAAGUUAUGAUCUUACGAUCUUACGGGUAUUACAAGUUUUGCAGGUUCAGGUAUCCCUGCUUCUUAUGGACCGAGGGCUUAUUUUUUACCGAUGAAUUUUUUUACAAGUUUCAUGCUGUGACAGAGGAUUGGAUUUAACUGGGUUUUGCAGAUCACAUUUGAAAGGAUUGUGAAAGACUACCACUGAGUUAGUAAAGUGUGUGGCAGAGAAGAAAUAAAAUUUACUUUUUGGAAGUUAAAAUCUUGUUAAAACAGGUGUUUAAUUGUGUUUUUUGCUUGUAUUUCAUAGGUAUUAAGUCUGCAUGAAACCAAUGUUUCAAUUUGUGUUCUGAUAA